GAUGAACGCUAGCGGCAGGCUUAACACAUGCAAGUCGAGGGGUAUAGUUCUUCGGAAUUAGAGACCGGCGCACGGGUGCGUAACGCGUAUGCAAUCUACCUUUCACAGAGGGAUAGCCCCAGAGAAAUUUGGAUUAAUACCUCAUAGUAUAGCAGUUUCGCAUGAAACCACUAUUAAAGUCACAACGGUGAAAGAUGAGCAUGCGUCCCAUUAGCUAGUUGGUAAGGUAACGGCUUACCAAGGCAACGAUGGGUAGGGGUCCUGAGAGGGAGAUCCCCCACACUGGUACUGAGACACGGACCAGACUCCUACGGGAGGCAGCAGUGAGGAAUAUUGGACAAUGGGCGCAAGCCUGAUCCAGCCAUGCCGCGUGCAGGAUGACGGUCCUAUGGAUUGUAAACUGCUUUUAUACAGGAAGAAACACUACUUCGUGAAGUAGCUUGACGGUACUGUAAGAAUAAGGAUCGGCUAACUCCCGUG
rnacentral:rRNA from 1 species